GCAAUACUCCCUCCGUCCGAAAAUACAUGUCAUAGAAAUUGAUGUAUCUAGAUGUAUUUUUGUUUUAGAUACAUCCAUUUUCAUCCAUUUCGAUGACAAGCAAUUCCGGACGGAGGCAGUACUUA
rfam:Triticum aestivum genome assembly, contig: Triticum_aestivum_CS42_TGACv1_scaffold_604682_7DL